GACGUAGGGGGCAAGCGUUAUUCGGAAUCACUGGGCGUAAAGGGCGCGUAGGCGGCCUGAUAAGUAGGGGGUGAAAUCCUGCGGCUUAACCGCAGGGCUGCCUUCUAAACUGUCAGGCUAGAGCACAGUAGAGGCAGGUGGAAUUCCCGGUGUAGCGGUGGAAUGCGUAGAGAUCGGGAAGAACAUCAGUGGCGAAGGCGGCCUGCUGGGCUGUUGCUGACGCUGAGGCGCGACAGCGUGGGGAGCAAACAGG
rnacentral:rRNA from 1 species